CCUACGGGCGGCAGCAGUGGGGAAUAUUGGACAAUGGGGGGAACCCUGAUCCAGCCAUGCCGCGUGUGUGAAGAAGGCCCUCGGGUUGUAAAGCACUUUCAGUGAGGAAGAACGCCUGGUGGUUAAUACCCAUCAGGAAAGACAUCACUCACAGAAGAAGCACCGGCUAACUCCGUGCCAGCAGCCGCGGUAGUACGGAGGGUGCGAGCGUUAAUCGGAAUUACUGGGCGUAAAGCGCGCGUAGGUGGCUUGAUAAGCCGGUUGUGAAAGCCCCGGGCUCAACCUGGGAACGGCAUCCGGAACUGUCAAGCUAGAGUGCAGGAGAGGAAGGUAGAAUUCCCGGUGUAGCGGUGAAAUGCGUAGAGAUCGGGAGGAAUACCAGUGGCGAAGGCGGCCUUCUGGACUGACGCUGACACUGAGGUGCGAAAGCGUGGGUAGCAAACAGGAUUAGAUACCCGUGUAGUC
rnacentral:rRNA from 1 species